UGAGGAAAAGGGAAAAUUCUGCUGGG
rnacentral:piRNA from 1 species